ACGGGUGAGUAACACGUAGGCAACCUGCCGACAGGAUGGGGACAACAUUCCGAAAGGAAUGCUAAUACCGAAUGGAGUCCGAGGAUGGCAUCAUCCCCGGAUAAAAGAUGGCCUCUGAAUAUGCUAUCGCCUGUCGAUGGGCCUGCGUCUGAUUAGCCAGUUGGCGGGGUAACGGCCCACCAAAGCGACGAUCAGUAGCCGGUCUGAGAGGAUGAACGGCCACAUUGGGACUGAGACACGGCCCAGACUCC
rnacentral:rRNA from 1 species